AGACCAUUUCCUACAACUAUGGCUUGUCUGAGUCCUGAGCCAGCAGAGCUCAGGCCACAGCACCUGCACCCGUUUUCUGCUGCUGCACACAAGGGCUCUGUGCAUUCCGCAUCCAGUUAGGAGAUUGCUCCUGCGCUGGGGAGUUGGUGUUAGGACAGAAGAUCCAAGACGCGUUUCAGAGAGCCCCUCUUCUUGGGCCUGCGAUUCCUCACCUGGAAGGGAGAAGAGUGGACUUCCUGCCUAGAGAACACCUUGGUAAACUCUUUGUGGUUCCUGUCAUGAGAAGGUGUGCAGCUUAGGGAAAAAGCCUGUGAGCUCUGGAAUCAGAUGGAACUGGAUAUGAAUUUCCAUUUAGUGCUUGUUGGAUUAAAUGUGAUGCUAGUAAGUACACUUGCCUAGUUGCUGCUCAAGAAAUGGAGCUAUUAUUAUUUACAUCAUAAUUUGAACUUCAUUCAUUCAACCCAUACCGAUGAGCAGCCACAGGCCCUCCUUCCACAGGGCUUACCUUCAGAAAGUUCCACGUGUCCCUUACUUUCUGGUAGGCACAUUCAUGGGCACGUACCAUGCUAAGGACCAGGGACCUGGAGAUGAAGACAGUCCUGUCCACUGAGGGGUUCACAUCUUUCCAUAAAACGUUCUGACCCCCCUGUUUCUUUCUUCU
rnacentral:lncRNA from 10 species